rnacentral:rRNA from 1 species
AUUGAACGCUGGCCGCAUGCCUUACACAUGCAAGUCGAACGGUAACAGGGAGCUUGCUCCGCUGACGAGUGGCGAACGGGUGAGUAAUGUAUCGGAACGUACCUUUUAGUGGGGGAUAACGUAGCGAAAGUUACGCUAAUACCGCAUAUUCUCUGAGGAGGAAAGCAGGGGACCUUCGGGCCUUGCGCUAAUAGAGCGGCUGAUAUCAGAUUAGCUAGUUGGUGAGGUAAAGGCUCACCAAGGCGACGAUCUGUAGCGGGUCUGAGAGGAUGAUCCGCCGCUCGGGAACUGAGACACGGUCCAGACUCCUACGGGAGGCAUCAGUGGGAAUUUUGGACAAUGGGGGCAACCCUGAUCCAGCCAUGCCGCGUGAGUGAAGAAGGCCUUCGGGUUGUAAAGCUCUUUCGGCCGGGAAAAAAUCGCAUGGGCUAAUACCCUGUGUGGAUGAUGGUACCGGAAUAAGAAGCACCGGCUAACUACGUGCCAGCCGCCGCAGUAA